UGCGUAGGCGGUCGGGUAAGUCUGAUGUGAAAUCUUCAAGCUUAACUUGGAAACUGCAUCGGAUACUAUUCGGCUAGAGGAAUGGAGGGGAGACUGGAAUACUUGGUGUAGCAGUGAAAUGCGUAGAUAUCAAGUGGAACACCAGAGGCGAAGGCGAGUCUCUGGACAUUUCCUGACGCUGAGGCACGAAAGCCAGGGGAGCAAACG
rnacentral:rRNA from 1 species